AGAGUUUGAUUCUGGCUCAGAUUGAACGCUGGCGGCGUGCUUAACACAUGCAAGUCGAACGCGAAAGGGACUUCGGUCCUGAGUAAAGUGGCGCACGGGUGAGUAACACGUGGAUAAUCUGCCCCUAUGAUCGGGAUAACAGUCGGAAACGGCUGCUAAUACCGGAUACGCUCAAAAUGAACUUUUUGAGGAAAGGUGACCUCUGCUUGCAUGUUACCGUAUAGGGAUGAGUCCGCGUCCCAUUAGCUUGUUGGUGGGGUAAAGGCCUACCAAGGCAACGAUGGGUAGCCGAUUUGAGAGGAUGAUCGGCCACACUGGGACUGAAACACGGCCCAGACUCCUACGGGAGGCAGCAGUGGGGAAUAUUGCGCAAUGGGCGAAAGCCUGACGCAGCGACGCCGCGUGAGGGAUGAAGGUUUUCGGAUCGUAAACCUCUGUCAGAAGGGAAGAAACCGCACUGUGCUAAUCAGCAGUGCCUUGACGGUACCUUCAAAGGAAGCACCGGCUAACUCCGUGCCAGCAGCCGCGGUAAUACGGAGGGUGCAAGCGUUGUCCGGAAUCAUUGGGCGUAAAGAGUUCGUAGGUGGCAUGUAAAGUCUGGUGUUAAAGGCAGAAGCUCAACUUCUGUAGGGCACUGGAUACUUGCAAGCUGGAAUGCGGUAGAGGUAAAGGGAAUUCCUGGUGUAGCGGUGAAAUGCGUAGAUAUCAGGAGGAACAUCGGUGGCGUAAGCGCUUUACUGGGCCGUAAUUGACACUGAGGAACGAAAGCCGGGGUAGCAAAUGGGAUUAGAUACCCCAGUAGUCCCGGCCGUAAACGAUGGAUACUAGGUGUUGCGGGUAUCGACCCCUGCAGUGCCGCAGCUAACGCGUUAAGUAUCCCGCCUGGGGAGUACGCACGCAAGUGUGAAACUCAAAGGAAUUGACGGGGACCCGCACAAGCGGUGGAACAUGUGGUUUAAUUCGAAGCAACGCGAAGAACCUUACCAGGGCUUGACAUCUAACAAAUCUCUAAGAAAUUAGAGAGUGCUCUUCGGAGAAUGUUAAGACAGGUGGUGCACGGUUGUCGUCAGCUCGUGUCGUGAGAUGUUGGGUUAAGUCCCGCAACGAGCGCAA
rnacentral:rRNA from 1 species